CUCGGCACGGCAGGAGCCCGAGCCGCGGUACCUGCUCUGAGCGCCCAGGGGGGCUCGGGAGAGGGGCUCGGGGGGACCCCCUUGGUCCCCGUCCGCCCCCAAAGCCGCGGGGCCCCGGCACGGCUCGGGCUCAACUACGAGAAGCGGGGAGAGGCGGCGGGCGGCCGCGGUGCCCCCUCUCCUGCCUCGCCGGCUGCUCGCAGGCGGGUAUUUAAGCUGGUACCGAGCACGGUGAGAUCUUUUCCACCCUUCCUCUUUGCCCUCGCAAAAGGCGAAAGAAAAAAAUCAGAAAUUCGUUGCCACAAGGGACGUUGCAACAUUGCUCUCGGCUUUUCAAGCGCUGCGUUCGCCCCGGCGUGCUUUAGAAGUCCCAACCCAAGAAGCAGCAGAAGAGAAGUAGGGGAAAAGGGAAAAAAAAAAAAAAAAAAAGAAAGAAAAAAACACCCCCAAAAGCAGCAAUUAAAACCCAGCACCCCAAACCCCUCAAACCAGCAAGAGGUGAGCUGCUCCGUGCGGCGCGGUCCCGGCGCGGCGGUGCUCGGUGGCCGGCUGCAGCCCGGUGCCCGUCCCUCGAAAGUUUGCUCCACGUGUUGCGGCCGCGGCCCGGGAGGCUCGGGGAGGCUCAGGGCCGGCUCCCGGGGGCGGUGCGGGCCCCGCCGCCCCCCGCCGCGCACGUUUAAGGAAGCGGCCGGUCCCCACCCCUGCGCCGGGCAGCUCCCGCCGCCAGCCGGCCGGGCGAAUUUGGGAGGCUCGCCCGGGCUGCCCUCUCCACCCCUUCGCCCUCCCCGGAGCUCCGCCGAGCCCCGUGCACGAGGAGGGAGGCGGCCGCCGAUGCCCGCCGCCGUCCCGCCGGUGCCCGCCGCCGCCGCCCGCCCCGCGCUCCUCCCGGCGGCGCCUCCGCCGGGGCAUUGCGCCGCGCCGACCUGCGCGCCCCGCGGCCCACCGAGGGCGGAGGGAGCCCCCUGCCGGCCGCCCGGGGCCGCCGCCGCCGCCCUUCUUCCUUCCCCCGAGCCCGGGCCGCCGGCAGGAGCCCCCCGGCCUCGCCUCGAGCCCCCCGUGCGGCCCCGACCCCCGCAGCGGUAG
rnacentral:lncRNA from 1 species